rnacentral:rRNA from 1 species
GACGAACGCUGGCGGCGUGCUUAACACAUGCAAGUCGAACGGAAAGGCCCUGCUUUUGUUGGUUUCUCGUUUGGCGAACGGGUGAGUAACACGUGAGUAACCUGCCCUUGACUUUGGGAUAACUUCAGGAAACUGGGGCUCUUACCGGAUAUGAUCUCCUGCUCCAUGUUGUUGGUUGGAAAGUUUCGGCGGUUGUGGAUGUACUCGCGGCUUAUCAGCUUCUUUGUGUGGUAGUGGCUUACCAAGGCUUUGACGGGUAGCCUGCCUGAGAGGGUUACCGGCCACAAUGGGACUGAGAGACGGCCCAGACGCCUACGGGAGGCAGUAGUGGGGAAUAUUGCACAAUGGGCGGAAGUCUGAUGCAGAAACGCCGCGUGCGGGAUGACGGGCUUCGGGGUGUAAACAGAUGUCGCAGGUGACGAAGAGUGAGUGACGGUAAUGGGUAAAGAAGCAACGGCUAACUACGUG